CGCUCACCAUGAAGAUCACGCUCUCAUUAUUACUGAUACUACUCAGCUUCAGCAGUGUGAAAUGUGAAAGUAUGGAAUCAUUAGAAACUGGAGUUCAGCUAAAACCUGGAGAAACUCUGAGUCUCUCCUGCAGAGGAUCUGGAUUUACUUUUAGCAGCUACGACAUGAACUGGAUCAUACAACAGGCUGGAAAACCGCUGGAGUGGAUUGGAUACAUUUCCAACCUUGCAUACAGCACAAACUAUGCGAAAUCUUAUCAAGGCCGAGCUGAAAUCACCAGAGACAAUUCUAAAAGUAUGGCCUAUCUGAAACUGUCUGGUGUGACAGUCGAGGACUCAGCUGUGUAUUACUGUGCAAGAGACACACAGUGA